rnacentral:rRNA from 1 species
AGAUUGAACGCUGGCGGCAGGCCUAACACAUGCAAGUCGAACGGUAGCACAGAGGAGCUUGCUCCUCGGGUGACGAGUGGCGGACGGGUGAGUAAUGUCUGGGAAACUGCCCGAUGGAGGGGGAUAACUACUGGAAACGGUAGCUAAUACCGCAUAACGUCGCAAGACCAAAGAGGGGGACCUUCGGGCCUCUUGCCAUCGGAUGUGCCCAGAUGGGAUUAGCUAGUAGGUGGGGUAAUGGCUCACCUAGGCGACGAUCCCUAGCUGGUCUGAGAGGAUGACCAGCCACACUGGAACUGAGACACGGUCCAGACUCCUACGGGAGGCAGCAGUGGGGAAUAUUGCACAAUGGGCGCAAGCCUGAUGCAGCCAUGCCGCGUGUGUGAAGAAGGCCUUCGGGUUGUAAAGCACUUUCAGCGGGGAGGAAGGCGAUACGGUUAAUAACCGUGUUGAUUGACGUUACCCGCAGAAGAAGCACCGGCUAACUCCGUGCCAGCAGCCGCGGUAAUACGGAGGGUGCAAGCGUUAAUCGGAAUUACUGGGCGUAAAGCGCACGCAGGCGGUCUGUCAAGUCGGAUGUGAAAUCCCCGGGCUCAACCUGGGAACUGCAUUCGAAACUGGCAGGCUUGAGUCUUGUAGAGGGGGGUAGAAUUCCAGGUGUAGCGGUGAAAUGCGUAGAGAUCUGGAGGAAUACCGGUGGCGAAGGCGGCCCC